rnacentral:rRNA from 1 species
GUCUUGAGGCUGUGUUAGUGUGUGUGUUGUUAGGUGUGUUACCUUUUGCAUCAUGAUUUCCGGGUAAUGGCUACAAAGUGUAGUGUUCCGAAAGGUAGUGAUUUAUUUUGUCCUUGCUUGGAGCUUAAGUGUGAUUGAGUUGGUCUUUUGAGAGGGUAAAAUGGGGGUGAUAUGCUAUUUCGCACUAUUUUAUAACUGGUUGGCGCUGAAGUUUUAAAGUUACACUAUUUGCUUUGAGGUGAUUGGUGUUGUCAGAGACUCUUUAUUUUUGGUUGUAGUGGGGUUAGUGGUGCCCUGGUUUAGUUUUUGUGUUAUAACAUUUUGAGGUUUUAUUUUGUCUUGGGUUGAUUCGGUGCUGUUGUAACUGUUUGGUGAGUUAUCGGGGAAUUAGUAGUUUAAGGAUUGCUGUAUUUUUGUCUCGAUUUUUAUUCGUCUGUUUAUUAAAAACAUUUCUAUCAUUAUGUGUUGAUAGUAGUACCUGCCCAAUGGCUAGGAGUUAAAUGGCCGCAGGAAUGAACUGUGUUAAGGUAGCAUAAUUAGUUGCCUUUUAAUUGAAGGAUUGUUUGAAUGGUUUGACGAGAUGGAAUUGAAAUGUGCAGUGUGUGGUGAUUUAGAGUGUCUGUGCAGAUCCAGAUAGUGGUUAGUAAGACGGAAAGACCCCGAGAGCUUUAUAUUGAUAUUUGCUUGGGGUAAGAGUAUGUGUUUUACGUAUUUUUCGAUCCCUUGUUGGGAUAGAGGGUGAAGUUACCUCGGGGAUAACUAGGCAAUAAAUGAUGUGAGAUCUAAUCUAUUUGUUUGAUUGCCAUCUCGAUGUUGGCUUAGGGUAGGUGCGGCGGUGUAGCAGCUGUUGCAUUAGGUCUGUUCGACCUGUGUUUCCUAUGAGUUGAGUUAAGACCGGCGUGAGCCAGGUCGGAUCUUAUCUACUGUGGUUGUGGGCUAGUACGAAAGGAUUGUUCAUGAUUUAUGUU